rnacentral:rRNA from 1 species
GAUGAACGCUGGCGGCGUGCCUAACACAUGCAAGUCGAACGGAAAGACGAUGAGCGCGUGCUCCUCACGUUGGCGGCGGGCGGGUGAGUGACGCGUGGAUAGCCUUCCUCUUUGUCGUGGGGGAUUUCGGGAGGCCGGAGCCACUAAUGGAGAAUAUGUUGAACCGGAUGGUUCAAUAGUGAUUUAGGGCUUUGCUGACUCAUAGAGCUGGAUCCGCGCCGGAUUAGCUAGUUGGUAAGGUAACGGCUUACCAAGGCGACGAUGCGUAGCCGAGCUGAGAGGGUGAUCGGCCACACUGGAACUGAGACACGGUCCAGACUCCUACGGGAGGCAGCAGUGGGGAAUGUUGGGCAAUGGGCGCAAGCUUGACGCAGCAACGCCGCGUGGGUGAUGAAGGCCUUCGGGUCGUAAAACUCUGUUAUUGGGGAAGAAAAGCUGUGUGAGUAACUAUGCACGUCGUGACGGUACCUAAAGAAUAAGCACCGGCUAACUACGUG